rnacentral:tRNA from 1 species
AUUAUAUAAGCAUAUAGUGCAUUAAAUUUAGAAUUUAGUCAAGUAAUAAAAAUUACAUAUAAUA